UACCGAUGUUGUGUUUCCGGUUCUGUUGGCUUGUCUUGUUCCAGUUGAGGUGGUUGAUUCUGGGCUGUCUGCUCAUCCACAAUGGGGGCAUGAUGUUCUGUUGAUGGAUGGUCAACGAUGACAGAUGACGAUGUUUGUUAUAACUUACGUGGAGGAGUAGUGGGCAUCUCUCCACUUCCAGAGGCUGCUACUGGUGGGAUCCGAAUCCGAGUUACUAACACUGUUAAAUAUUGAAUAAAAUCAGCACAAGCCAAGGUACUUACCACCAGAACUAGGCUGAGGCGUGCUUGGGGCUGAUCGCCCUGCAGAGUAUUUUCGGGGAUCUGGAAAACAUCAAAGAUAAGAGAC